rnacentral:rRNA from 1 species
GGUUAAGCGACUAAGCGUACACGGUGGAUGCCCUGGCAGUCAGAGGCGAUGAAGGACGUGCUAAUCUGCGAAAAGCGCCGGCGAGGUGAUAUGAACCYUUGACCCGGCGAUGUCCGAAUGGGGAAACCCAGUGCAAUYCGUUGCACUAUCGUUAACUGAAUACAUAGGUUAACGAGGCGAACCGGGGGAACUGAAACAUCUAAGUACCCCGAGGAAAAGAAAUCAACCGAGAUUCCCCCAGUAGCGGCGAGCGAACGGGGAGCAGCCCGGAGUCUGAAUCAGCUUGUGUGUUAGUGGAACGGUCUGGAAAGUCCGACGGUACAGGGUGAUAGUCCCGUACACGAAAGCACACUUGCUGUGAACUCGAAGAGUAGGGCGGGACACGUGGUAUCCUGUCUGAAUAUGGGGGGACCAUCCUCCAAGGCUAAAUACUCCUGACUGACCGAUAGUGAACCAGUACCGUGAGGGAAAGGCGAAAAGAACCCCGGCGAGGGGAGUGAAAAAGAACCUGAAACCGUGUACGUACAAGCAGUGGGAGCCUCUUUAUGGGGUGACUGCGUACCUUUUGUAUAAUGGGUCAGCGACUUAUAUUCUGUAGCAAGGUUAACCGUAUAGGGGAGCCGAAGGGAAACCGAGUCUUAACUG